GAUCAUGGCUUAAUGGUUUAGUCUAGUCCUUUGGCUGACUAAAUUGAAACUAAUCCACCAAUUGGGGUCUGAGGUAAGUUUGGCAAUAUUGUAUGACAAUUCGAUUGGUAGUUUUUAAUUAGCAGUCCGUUUAUCUGGCCAUUUCGAUGGUGGCUAAGACGAACCGAGGCAGACCCUUCUAUCGAUCUCACUUGCCUGACCAAUUCGAUAGAUCAUGUCUUGAUU
rnacentral:lncRNA from 1 species